UGACCAUCGUGGUGACCACCCUGGCACACAGCCAUGGAGCACUGAGUGACCACAGUGACCACCACACUGACCACCCUGGCCACCACACUGACCACCCUGGGACACCGCCAUGGAGCAGUGACCAGCGUGGUGACCACCACACUGACCACCCUGGCCACCACACUGACCACCCUGGCCACCCUGGGACACCACCAUGGAGCACUGAGUGACCACAGUGACCACUCUGGGACACCACCAUGGAGCAGUGACCAGCACUGUGGUGACCAUCACUGUGACCGUCAUGGGGACACCGCCAUGGAGCAGGGAGUGACCAUGGUGGUCAUCACUGUGACCACUGUGGUGACCACCCUGGGACAUGGCCAUGGGGCAGUGACCAGCACAGGGACACCACCAUGGAGCAGUGAGUGACCAUGGUGGUCAUCGUGGUGGCCACCCUGGCACACAGCCACAGAGCACUGACCAUCACUGUGGUCAUCGAGAAGACAGCUCCUGACCACAGUGACCACCAUGGGACAUCCCCACAGUGACCACCACAGUGACCAUCAUGGCCACCAUGGGGACAGCUCCUGACCACAGUGACCAUCACAGUGACCACCAUAGGGACAGUUCCUGACCACAGUGACCAUUAUGGGACACCACCAUGGAGCACUGACCACCACAGUGACCAUCACAGUGACCAUCACAGUGACCAUCACAGCCACCAUGGGGACAGCUCCUGACCACAGUGACCACCACAGUGACCACAGUGACCACCAUGGGGACAGCUCCUGACCACAGUGACCAUCAUGGGGAUACCACCACAGAGCAGUGACCACCACAGUGACCACCACGGCCACCAUGGGGACACCACCAUGGAGCAGUGACCACCACAGUGACCACCCUGGGGACAGUUCCUGACCACAGUGACCACCAUGAGGACACCACCAUGGAGCAGUGACCACCACAGUGACCACAGUGACCACCCUGGGGACAGCUCCUGACCACAGUGACCAUCACAGUGACCAUCACAGUGACCACAGUGACUACCACAGUGACCACCACGAGGACACCACCAUGGAACAGUGACCAUUGCAGUGACCACCACAGUGACCACCACAGUGACCACCAUGAGGACACCACCAUGGAGCAGUGACCACCACAGUGACCACCACAGUGACCACCAUGGGGACAGCUCCUGACCACAGUGACCAUCAUGAGGACACCACCAUGGAGCAAUGACCACCACAGUGACCAUCAUGACCACCAUGGGGACAGCUCCUGACCACAGUGACCAUCACAGUGACCACCCUGGGGACAGCUCCUGACCGCAGUGACCACCACAGUGACCACAGUGACCACCCUGGGGACAGUUCCUGACCGCAGUGACCAUCAUGAGCCCAUGGCCACAGUGCAGUGACACUGUCCUGUCUGUCCCUCUGUCCGACUGACGCUCCGUCCGACUGUCCCUGCGGUUUUGGGGUCCCCCAGCUCCAUCCCAAUAAACCUGGUGGUGUCACCCCUGUUC
rnacentral:lncRNA from 1 species